rnacentral:rRNA from 1 species
UACGUAGGGUGCAAGCGUUAAUCGGAAUUACUGGGCGUAAAGCGUGCGCAGGCGGUCUUUUAAGUCAGAUGUGAAAUCCCCGGGCUUAACCUGGGGACUGCGUUUGAAACUGGAAGGCUAGAGUGUGGCAGAGGGGGGUGGAAUUCCACGUGUAGCAGUGAAAUGCGUAGAUAUCUGGAGGAACACCGGUGGCGAAGGCGGCGUUCUGGACUGCUACUGACACUGAGGAACGAAAGCCUGGGGAGCAAACGGG